UACGUAGGGUGCGAGCGUUAAUCGGAAUUACUGGGCGUAAAGCGUGCGCAGGCGGUUUUGCAAGCCGGAUGUGAAAUCCCCGGGCUCAACCUGGGAAUGGCAUUCGGGACUGCAAGGCUGGAGUGCGGCAGAGGAGACUGGAAUUCCUGGUGUAGCGGUGAAAUGCGCAGAUAUCAGGAAGAACACCAAUGGCGAAAGCAGCUUUCUGGGACGGUACUGACGCUGAGACGCGAAAGCGUGGGGAGCGAACAGG
rnacentral:rRNA from 1 species